GGGUGAAGAUAAGAUGGAUUAGCGGCGGACGGGUGAGUAACCACGUGAGUAACCUGCCUUAGACAUUGGGAUAGCCUCGGGAAACCGGGAUUAAUACCAAAUAAAAUCAUAGGUGCCCAUGCACUAAUGAUCAAAACUCCGGUGGUCUAAGAUGGACUCGCGUCCCAUUAGCUAGUUGGUGAGGUAACGGCCCACCAAGGCGACGAUGGGUAGCCGGCCUGAGAGGGUGAACGGCCACAUUGGAACUGAGAAACGGUCCAAACUCCUACGGGAGGCAGCAGUGGGGAAUAUUGCACAAUGGAGGGAACUCUGAUGCAGCGACGCCGCGUGAACGAUGAAGGCUUUCGAGUCGUAAAGUUCUUUUAUAUGGGAAGAUAAUGACGGUACCAUAAGAAAAAGCCCCGGCUAACUACGUGCCAGCAGCCGCGGUAAUACGUAGGGGGCUAGCGUUGUCCGGAAUCACUGGGCGUAAAGGGUUCGCAGGCGGAAAUGCAAGUCAGAUGUAAAAGGCAGUAGCUUAACUACUGUAAGUAUUUGAAACUGCAUAUCUUGAGAAGAGUAGAGGUAAGUGGAAUUUUUAGUGUAGCGGUGAAAUGCGUAGAUAUUAAAAAGAAUACCGGUGGCGAAGGCGACUUACUGGGCUCAUUCUGACGCUGAGGAACGAAAGCGUGGGUAGCAAACAGGAUUAGAUACCCUGGUAGUCCACGCUGUAAACGAUGAGUGCUAGGUAUCGGAAUAAUUCGGUGCCGCAGUUAACACAUUAAGCACUCCGCCUGGGGAGUACGUGCGCAAG
rnacentral:rRNA from 1 species